GAAUUGGGAGCUUCUUUUGCUAUUCUUCUAUCUUGGAUGCAUUGGAAGGUCCAGAUUUUGAAGAAAUCUCUCUAGAGGUUGAACAGGUGAGGCUCACCUUUCAAUAGUUACACCAAGAAAGGCCUAGCUGGUGACUUAAGCUAUGGUUUUGGGCUGCACGAGAGUGGUCAGGCAGACAGUGGGGAAGUCUACACAUAACCCAAAGGGGAAAGAGAAAAGACCCCAAGAAAUCAGGGCAAAGUCCCACAGUGUCUGUUUCUUGAUGGUGUCACUGGCAUGUGGGUUACCUUCCCACUGCGUCCCCCAAAGGACAUGAGGCCAUAGACUGCAGUGCCCGUGAACAGAGGAGCUGUGGGAGUGGUAGUUUGAUCGCUCCCUUCAAACGCACACCCCGGUGUGUGCACGUCUCUUCUGAUGCAGCGCCCCAAUGGGUAAGCUCUGUGCUUCUCCACACAGUGGAUUAAGAGUGGAAACCUUCUCUCUGUUUAGCGCUUGACGGUUUGGUUGUGACCUCAAGUCAUGGUGAUCAGAGCCAAUGAUCCUAACAGUUUAAAAUUGUUGAGCUUGUGGGUAGGUUUUUGGGAGGUAGCAUAUGUGUUACCUGGUGUUUGUCAUCUGCAGUGGUUUUGUUACUUUUUGCAUAGACUGCGGAGAAUGUUUACUAAUUGCAGAUGAUAGAGAAAUCAGCAGUCACUCUAAAAUCCUCCCAUUUCUUGGUCUAGAGCUGCUCCUGGAUCCCGCAGCAGCGAGGAGACCUGAAGACCAGAGGAAACACAGCAAUCCCUGGAUCCUCCUGGAAUCCCCGAUCCCUGUUGCUCCCUCGGGGAGGUUUCUAGUCCCUCUGACUUGAAGCAUGGCUUUCAGAGCCCGGCGCCACCCAGCUUGGGUAUCUGGUGAGUACUGUGGUCUGCAUAUCCAUGUUUGUGACAUUCUGGGAAGGGUGGCCCAGGCUGUGAUUUGCCAUCUACUGCUGCAGGCUACGGAUGGUAUUCAGAAGGGAGGGGAGAUGCCGUGUGCGUGUUCUGAAGAGUUUCCCACUGCACAGACCAACCCUCUCCAUAACUAUUUGAUUUUUACUUUAUCUCCUCGUUGACUUCACAGUGUCAGUGCAGUUUGUGUAAUCAUCUCUACGGGGUGAUGCAGGCAGAUAUAAAGUCUGCACGUGUGGGCAAACUCUCCACAUCAUGUCAUUUAUUGUCCAUCAUUACAUGUCUAUGGUGUCUCGCUCAUUUCUCUCAUUUUCUGUCAUUUUACCUACUUUUACCUGAAGUACAAUGACUAUUUAAUAACUAUUAUUUCAUUUCAAUACACCUCUAUGGUAUUUUUUCACCUCACAUUGGACCUUCCUCCCUCACUGGACUUCAAUGUGGGACCUGCAGGUCUCAGGCCUUCUGGGAUGUCCCAGUUUUACUUGAAUGUUCUCUCUGGCCGGCUCAGGCCGGAGCAGUGGGUGUUGGCGCCACCCUGUGGCUAUAGGUGAUAAGCCGGCUGUUGUUGACUGAUCCCUGUCUUACCUUGAACCCUGGAGUUCUCACAUGCGUGGAUUUAAACGCUGUGUCUUUCUAAGGGAAGAUUGUGCCCAUUUUCCUUCUCUCCCUCCCAAGGCACUGUUUCCUGUGUUUAUUGACUCCCCGUUUUUUUUUUUUUAAGAUAUAUAUAUAUAGAUAGAUGAAUUAGAUUGUACCCCAUAAAUUGCAUGUUUUAAAAAUACUUCAAAGAAUAGUUUCUCAUUUUUUUCUUGCUGAUUUUUACCUAUCUUCUAAAUUGUAUAUGGGGUAUAAAAUGAUGUGAUUUUUCAAUGCAGUGUGGAAUAAGAAUCAAAUUAAUCUAUCCGUUACCUCAAAUCCUUGACUUUUUUUUGUGGUGAGAAUGCUGUUUAUCACUUUCACUCAUCAGCUCCUGAUGUCUUCCAUGCAGGGACAGGAAAGGCUCCACCACUUGACUUUCCCUCUGUUUUCCUUUUUUUUUUUUUUUUUUUUUUGAGACGGAGUCUUGCUCAGUUGCCCAGGUGAUGUGCAGUGGCGGAUCUCAGCUCACACUGCAAGCUAC
rnacentral:lncRNA from 1 species